GGCGGACGGGUGAGUAACGCGUGGGAAUAUGCCCUUUGGUACGGAAUAGCCUCGGGAAACUGAGAGUAAUACCGUAUGUGUCCUCUGAUCGUGGUGGUUGGAGGAGAAAGAUUUAUCGCCAAAGGAUUAGCCCGCGUUGGAUUAGAUAGUUGGUGGGGUAAUGGCCUACCAAGUCUACGAUCCAUAGCUGGUUUGAGAGGAUGAUCAGCCACACUGGGACUGAGACACGGCCCAGACUCCUACGGGAGGCAGCAGUGGGGAAUCUUAGACAAUGGGGGCAACCCUGAUCUAGCCAUGCCGCGUGAUCGAUGAAGGCCUUAGGGUUGUAAAGAUCUUUCAGUUGGGAAGAUAAUGACGGUACCAACAGAAGAAGCCCCGGCUAACUCCGUGCCAGCAGCCGCGGUAAUACGGAGGGGGCUAGCGUUAUUCGGAAUUACUGGGCGUAAAGCGCACGUAGGCGGACUGGAAAGUUAGAGGUGAAAUCCCAGGGCUCAACCUUGGAACUGCCUUUAAAACUAUCAGUCUAGAGAUCGAGAGAGGUGAGUGGAAUUCCGAGUGUAGAGGUGAAAUUCGUAGAUAUUCGGAGGAACACCAGUGGCGAAGGCGGCU
rnacentral:rRNA from 1 species